CCCUCGCCUGACCAAAUCGCCUUCGAAGCUACAAACGGAGACGUGCAUUCAUUUGCUCGUCUCGAUGCUCUGACUCUUUUCUGCUUUGGGAGAAAGUCCCCGGACAGUUCUUUUCAUUCCUCGCGCCCUGUUCUCCGCCUCGAAAGAGAGGAGGAUCGAGAGCGAGGAUGUUCACGAAGAGACGAUGCGGAAACGCGCCGCCGUAAUGACACCUGCGGCUCAUCUCUGCCCAAUAUGGGGCAUCAUUCUUCUCUUUUCCAUUCCCCUUUUCUCGUUCUUUUCCGAUCCUUUGCGUUUUCACCCCGGUCACUGUUCCUUUUCCCUUGCACGGCCUCGCUCUGGCGAUCCCUUGCUGUUCCAUUACGCCCUGAUUCUUUUGAGUUCUCUCUUGUUUCAACGGGGACGUCCGAUAUUUCCUAUUUAUUCAACUCUUUUACCCUUUUCCUUUCUUCCCAGCUUGUCUGUAUUGCUUUCUCCUGGCGAUCUCUUUCUUUUCCAUCUUGCCCUGGCUUUGCUUUUGCUAUUUCCUUGUCUUUUCCUUGUUUGGUUUCCUCUCAUUCUCAACUCGUUCUUCUCAUCGUUUGUUUGCUCGCCAUUCCCUUUUCAUCAGUCCCGUGGCAUUGUGCGCUCUUGUGCACCCUUUGAGGGAGUUGUCCUUGCUGAAAGCCGCGGCUUCUUUCUACACUUGCUCUUUACUCCUUUCCAACAGUCUCUUGACUCGUUUGUACUCGCAUCUUACUUGGCACAUGAAGGGGCGCUGGCGAUGGCAGAUUCGUGCAUCAGGCUUUUCUGUUCAGAUUCGGGUGUUGCUGGUUGGUCUUGUCGGUUUCUUUCUUUCUGCUCUUGGCUCUCUACCUGCACAGUAAACGGCACCACCUAUGGACGAAGAUACGAGUCCGCUGUUGUUUGCUGUUUGGGCUAGAGGCUGGGAGUGGUGGCUUGAUGUCUGGCUUGCACUAGCUGGUGUAUACUUGCUUCUGUCUCGGGAGUACGGGCUUGUUUGUCGGUUUGUUGGAGGCUCGCUGGAUUGCUAAGAUUUGACGGAGACAUGAGGGUCCUGAGCGGAGGGGGUUCCGUAAAGGCGGUUGGACUGAAUAUUGCGGUGAGUAUGCCUGGAUCGCGUUAUCACCUUGGGGGUCACCACAUGAGGCACGGAGUCUAGUACUCAGGUGCUCGGGAUGGAAUUGGGAACUCUGGGGCUACAAUGGAGAGGACGGGGAGAGGUUACCGACUUGGUAAGCAGGAAGAGUAGAGCGGGUCGCCAAGGGGUGAGUCUGGAGAGACGGAGGGUGGGAGGAGCAUUGGAUGAGAUGGUGGUGAGGCGAGAGCAAGAGGGGGGAGAGACUUGGGUGAUGAUCCGGGGUGCUCGAGAGGAGAGAGAGGAAAAGGGUGGGCAGCGAGGAGGAGGAGUGUUGCUGGAGGGCUGAGGAGAGCGGCCAUUUGUGGGUGAGGCACGAAGAGGAGGUUGAGACGGACAGGGAGCGUGGGCUUGAGGCUCAAGGAGUGGUGUCUCGGGCUGGGGAGUGUUUCGUCCGACUACGAUAGGCAUGCGAUUGCUCGUCGAAACGCAGGAAUGCCGCUUGACGAGUUACUCGAUGGGGCUUAUUAUCGGAGCGAGG
rfam:Ophiostoma piceae TAMH 11346 chromosome Tnknown scf04, whole genome shotgun sequence.